UAAGUUCUUCAGGGCGGGGCGAAAUUCCCCACCGGCGGUAACCAGCGAUGGAAGCCCGCAAGCCAAUGGCUGUGCCGUACCAAGCGCUAUGCGCAAGACGGCCAAGCCCGCGGCAGACCCGGUUAAAUUCCGGGGCCGACGGUAAAGUCCGGAUGAAAGAAGAACGAG
rnacentral:ncRNA from 2 species